rnacentral:rRNA from 1 species
AUUGAACGCUGGCGGCAGGCCUAACACAUGCAAGUCGAGCGGAGCUGCGGACGGGUGAGUAAUGCCUAGGGAUCUACCUGGUAGUGGGGGAUCACGAACUGAAACGGACGCUAAUACCGCCUACUCUCAAUUGAGCCUAGGUCGGAUGAGCUAGUUGGUGGGGUAAGGGCCUACCAAGGCGACGAUACGUAGCUGGUCUGAGAGGAUGAUCAGUCAAACUGGAAAUGAGACACGGUCCAGACUCCUACGGGAGGCAGCAGUGGGGAAUAUUGGACAAUGGGCGAAAGCCUGAUCCAGCCAUGCCGCGUGUGUGAAGAAGGUCUUCGGAUUGUAAAGCACUUUAAGUUGGGAGGCGUUACCAACAGAAUAAGCACCGGCUAACUUCGUGCCAGCAGCCGCGGUAAUAC